rnacentral:rRNA from 1 species
ACUCCUACGGGAGGCAGCAGUGGGGAAUAUUGCACAAUGGGCGCAAGCCUGAUGCAGCCAUGCCGCGUGUGUGAAGAAGGCCUUCGGGUUGUAAAGCACUUUCAGUUGUGAGGAAGGUGGUGUCGUUAAUAGCGGCAUCAUUUGACGUUAGCAACAGAAGAAGCACCGGCUAACUCCGUGCCAGCAGCCGCGGUAAUACGGAGGGUGCGAGCGUUAAUCGGAAUUACUGGGCGUAAAGCGCAUGCAGGUGGUUUGUUAAGUCAGAUGUGAAAGCCCGGGGCUUAACCUCGGAAUUGCAUUUGAAACUGGCAGGCUAGAGUCUUGUAGAGGGGGGUAGAAUUUCAGGUGUAGCGGUGAAAUGCGUAGAGAUCUGAAGGAAUACCAGUGGCGAAGGCGGCCCCCUAGGACAAAGACUGACGCUCAGAUGCGAAAGCGUGGGGAGCAAACAGGAUUAGAUACCCUGGUAGCACAGAG